GGUUACGAUAAAAGAAAAUCCGAACUGUACAAAUAUUACGCAUUUUGAUAUAAAACAAUGAGUUAACGAUUAUCAUUUGAAGUUGAUAUGUCAUAAUGGUCACAAGACAUCGCUUUAAGUAUUUAAAUUAUUUUUGUUAUCAAAAUUUUAAAACUAAAUGAUAACUCAAAGGAAAGAAAAAGGAAUUACUCAUAUAAAGUUAGCCAUAUGACAUGCAUGGAUUUGACUUAAGGUCAAGGAAAAGUAAAUUGGCUAUGUCACAGAUUUUUCUAAAAUGUUGCACACAACCUUGGUUCGUUAAACUAAUUGAAAUGCACUUAUCUCUUUUAUUAUCUGAAAUCUUACUGAUUGAAUUCUUUCAAAUUAGGUGAACAUUACAUGAUAUCAAAUAAUCAUAUGGUCCUCGACUCUUUGUUUGUUUGUCUAAUGAUUAAACUGUUCAUUAGCUGGUAGUAAAAAACGUCAAAAAUAUAUGUUUAACAUUAGGCAUCGCGAUGACGUUACGAUCAUUUCGACGUUUUGUGUUGUUUUUUUGUUUACAUUAAACACCACUUUGAAUGAUAUGUACCGUAAAAACGAUGUCGGUGCCCCAUCAUUAUUAAAUCAUAAAAAAUGUAAAUGUAUGUAUCAACAACAUAUAGAUUUUUAAAAUCUAUGUAGUAGAAAUCUGAAAUUUUGUGAUUUUAAGACGAACCAGAGUUGUAUGUUGAAUUUUACCAACAUCUGUAACAUGGCCAUUUUUCUGAAACUUGACUUUAAGUGUCAUCAGGGUUAGAGAUAAUUUGAAUAAUAUUCUUUUAUGAAAAAUAUUAACAAAUUUAUUUUUUCAAAAUUUGGUGUGAGCAAGUUAUCUCCUAUCACUCGAUCGAUUACAAUGGAAAAUAGCUUGGGGUGUUCAAACAUCUUAGUUCUUUUAAUGUUCAACAUAUAUGAUCUUUCAAAAUAUUUCUAGUAAUGAAAACGUAUCUAACGCUUAAAAAAAACAAAGAGUUCAGAAAAGAAUUGCACAAAUAAGUUUUGUUCCUUUUUUGUAAAUACGACAGGUUUGAAAAAGUAUCUGACGAUUAAAAAAUAAAGAGUUCUGAAAGGAAUUGCACCAUUUUAAAGUUUUGUCCCUCUAUGUAAAUAGUUUUUUUCUAUUUGAUAUUUUACACUUUUUGUUUGUACAAUCUUUGCCAAUCUGUAGGGCUAAGUUUUUUUAAUUGAAUAUAUUAGUAUUUUACAGACUUAGUUUCCAAAGUUGAUGUUUUCAUGUACAAGUCUUUUUGUAAAUAAUGAUCUUUGAAAUGUAUUUCCAAUUUUCAAUAGUUUUUAGAAAUUUCCCGAUGCUUGAAAAGAAACGAGUUCGAUAAAUUAUUGCAUACUUGAGGUUUGUCCCUUCGUGUAAAAACUUGUUCAUUUGACAUUUAAAACUUUAUUUUUGUAUUUUCUUUGCCACUUAUAGCAACGCUUUAUAUUCUAUAUUACCAUUAUUUUUUAAUGAAACGUUUAUUUUAUUGUAUCGUACAUGUCGCACAUUCCUGUAUACUUUUAUCUUUUGAGUCUUUGGUUUGAUCAUGGGCAACGUAUUCUCACACAUUUGAAAUCUGCAUCUGGUGCAGGAAAAUUGGACCGUUAAUGUUAUUGAAACAACAUUUUCAAUAUAAAACAAGCAAAUGUUGAUCUGUACAAAUAUUACGAUGUCCAGCUAAAACGAUGUGUAACAAUUACUUUGCGACGUUAAUGUGUCAAGACGAAUUGAAUGUAGCAUAUGUUUUUUCCCUUAAAUUUUAAAAUUAAAUGAUAACUUUUAGUGAAAGAACAAGACAGGUCUCACAUAAAAUUAGCAAUAUGCACGUGACAUUGAUUUAUUUUAAGCGUCAUGCAAGUUUGAAGAUAACUAAAUAGUAUGUUUCUGAUAGAAAAUACUUAUCAUUUCUUUGAAGAAAAAAAAUAACGUGAUUUAGGUUUCUCUUAUUAUAUGAUUUAAUUAAUUAUCUAAGUUACCAUUGUUAUGUUUAUCAAAUGUUUUUGUUAUUGUACCAUAGC
rnacentral:lncRNA from 1 species